UACGUAGGGGGCAAGCGUUGUCCGGAAUCAUUGGGCGUAAAGAGCGUGUAGGCGGCCCGAUAAGUCCGCCGUGAAAGUCCAGGGCUCAACCCUGGAAUGCCGGUGGAAACUGUCGGGCUGGAGUCCGGAAGAGGCGAGUGGAAUUCCCGGUGUAGCGGUGAAAUGCGCAGAUAUCGGGAGGAACACCAAUGGCGAAGGCAGCUCGCUGGGACGUUACUGACGCUGAGACGCGAAAGCGUGGGGAGCAAACAGG
rnacentral:rRNA from 1 species